rnacentral:rRNA from 1 species
AACGAACGCUGGCGGCAGGCUUAACACAUGCAAGUCGAGCGCCCCGCAAGGGGAGCGGCAGACGGGUGAGUAACGCGUGGGAACGUACCCUUUACUACGGAAUAACUCAGGGAAACUUGUGCUAAUACCAUAUGUGCCCUUUGGGGGAAAGAUUUAUCGGUAAAGGAUCGGCCCGCGUUGGAUUAGCUAGUUGGUGGGGUAAAGGCCUACCAAGGCGACGAUCCAUAGCUGGUCUGAGAGGAUGAUCAGCCACAUUGGGGCUGAGACACGGCCCAAACUCCUACGGGAGGCAGCAGUGGGGAAUAUUGGACAAUGGGCGCAAGCCUGAUCCAGCCAUGCCGCGUGAGUGAUGAAGGCCUUAGGGUUGUAAAGCUCUUUCACCGGUGAAGAUAAUGACGGUAACCGGAGAAGAAGCCCCGGCUAACUUCGUGCCAGCCGCCGCAGUAACAC